UGCCUACGGGAGGCAGCAGUAGGGAAUUUUCGUCAAUGGGCGCAAGCCUGAACCAGCCAAGCCGCGUGAGGGAGGAAGGUACAGAGUAUCGUAAACCUCUUUUGUCAGGGAACAAAGGCGGGGACGUGUCCCCGGAUGAGUGUACCUGAAGAAAAAGCAUCGGCUAACUCCGUGCCAGCAGCCGCGGUAAUACGGAGGAUGCGAGCGUUAUCCGGAUUUAUUGGGUUUAAAGGGGGCGCAGGCGGUCUGUUAAGUCAGCGGUCAAAGCCCGGGGCUCAA
rnacentral:rRNA from 1 species